AAGCCGUAAAUUCGCGACUGCGAUUGGUUCAUACCCAUGAUUAAAAAGGGAAACAGGUGAGAUUCCUGUACAGUCCCGCUGCUGUAAACUGUCCAACGAGGCAAGCAUUUGGCCACUGACACUUUAUUCGGGAAGGCCGUUUGCCGAUUUAUCCACCCCACGCAUACGGGGAAAGAGACAGUGAAGUCAGAAGACCUGCCGUCGCGCGCUUGUUGUC
rnacentral:ncRNA from 2 species